rnacentral:rRNA from 1 species
ACGGAAGGCAGCAGUGAGGAAUAUUGCACAAUGGGCGAAAGCCUGAUGCAGCGACGCCGCGUGAGUGAAGAAGUAUCUCGGUAUGUAAAGCUCUAUCAGCAGGGAAGAAAAUGACGGUACCUGACUAAGAAGCCCCGGCUAACUACGUGCCAGCAGCCGCGGUAAUACGUAGGGGGCAAGCGUUAUCCGGAUUUACUGGGUGUAAAGGGAGCGUAGACGGUUUGGCAAGUCUGAAGUGAAAUGCGGGGGCUCAACUCCUGAACUGCUUUGGAAACUGUCGAACUAGAGUGCAGGAGAGGUAAGUGGAAUUCCUAGUGUAGCGGUGAAAUGCGUAGAUAUUAGGAGGAACACCAGUGGCGAAGGCGGCUUACUGGACUGUAACUGACGUUGAGGCUCGAAAGCGUGGGGAGCAAACAGGAUUAGAUACCCUGGUA